rnacentral:rRNA from 1 species
GACGGAGGGUGCAAGCGUUGUUCGGAAUUACUGGGCGUAAAGGGCGCGUAGGCGGUCUGUUAAGUUCGGUGUGAAAGCCCUCGGCUUACCCGGGGAACUGCGCCGGAAACCGACAGACUCGAGUACCGGAGAGGAGGGUGGAAUUCCUGGUGUAGCGGUGAAAUGCGUAGAUAUCAGGAGGAACACCGGUGGCGAAGGCGGUUCUCUGGGCCUGUGCUGACGCUGAGGAGCGAAAGCGUGGGGAGCGAACAGG